rnacentral:rRNA from 1 species
AGAGUUUGAUCCUGGCUCAGAACGAACGCUGGCGGCAUGCCUAACACAUGCAAGUCGAACGCCUGUAGCAAUACAGGAGUGGCGCACGGGUGAGUAACGCGUGGGAACCUGCCCCGGAGUGGGGGAUAACCCGGCGAAAGCCGGGCUAAUACCGCAUACGGCCUAUGGGCGAAAGAUUUAUCGCUCUGGGAGGGGCCCGCGUCGGAUUAGCUAGUUGGUGAGGUAACGGCUCACCAAGGCGAUGAUCCGUAGCUGGUCUGAGAGGAUGAUCAGCCACACUGGGACUGAGACACGGCCCAGACUCCUACGGGAGGCAGCAGUGGGGAAUAUUGGACAAUGGGGGCAACCCUGAUCCAGCAAUGCCGCGUGAGUGAUGAAGGCCUUAGGGUUGUAAAGCUCUUUCGGCGGGGACGAUGAUGACGGUACCCGCAGAAGAAGCCCCGGCUAACUUCGUGCCAGCAGCCGCGGUAAUACGAAGGGGGCGAGCGUUGUUCGGAAUUACUGGGCGUAAAGGGCGCGCAGGCGGCCCUAUGAAGUCAGAUGUGAAAGCCCCGGGCUCAACCUGGGAAUAGCAUUUGAUACUCAUGGGCUGGAGUGCGGGAGAGGAGAGUGGAAUUCCCAGUGUAGAGGUGAAAUUCGUAGAUAUUGGGAAGAACACCGGUGGCGAAGGCGGCUCUCUGGACCGUAACUGACGCUGAGGCGCGAAAGCGUGGGGAGCAAACAGGAUUAGAUACCCUAGUAGUCC